GUGGGGAAUAUUGGACAAUGGGCGCAAGCCUGAUCCAGCCAUGCCGCGUGAGUGAUGAAGGCCCUAGGGUUGUAAAGCUCUUUUGUCCGGGAAGAUAAUGACUGUACCGGAAGAAUAAGCCCCGGCUAACUUCGUGCCAGCAGCCGCGGUAAUACGAAGGGGGCUAGCGUUGUUCGGAAUCACUGGGCGUAAAGCGCACGUAGGCGGACCAUUAAGUCAGGGGUGAAAGCCUGGAGCUCAACUCCAGAACUGCCUUUGAGACUGAUGGUCUCGAGUAUGGAAGAGGUUGGUGGAACUGCGAGUGUAGAGGUGAAAUUCGUAGAUAUUCGCAAGAACACCGGUGGCGAAGGCGGCCAACUGGUCCAUUACUGACGCUGAGGUGCGAAAGCGUGGGGAGCAAACAGGAUUAGAAACCCGAGUAGUCC
rnacentral:rRNA from 1 species